GACGAACGCUGGCGGCGUGCCUAAUACAUGCAAGUAGAACGCUGAAGCGAGGAGCUUGCUCUUCUUGGAUGAGUUGCGAACGGGUGAGUAACGCGUAGGUAACCUGCCUUGUAGCGGGGGAUAACUAUUGGAAACGAUAGCUAAUACCGCAUAACAAUGGAUGACACAUGUCAUUUAUUUGAAAGGGGCAAUUGCUCCACUACAAGAUGGACCUGCGUUGUAUUAGCUAGUAGGUGAGGUAAUGGCUCACCUAGGCGACGAUACAUAGCCGACCUGAGAGGGUGAUCGGCCACACUGGGACUGGGACACGGCCCAGACUCCUACGGGAGGCAGCAGUAGGGAAUCUUCGGCAAUGGGGGCAACCCUGAACGAGCAACGCCGCGUGAGUGAAGAAGGUUUUCGGAUCGUAAAGCUCUGUUGUAAGUCAAGAACGGGUGUGAGAGUGGAAAGUUCACACUGUGACGGUAGCUUACCAGAAAGGGACGGCUAACUACGUG
rnacentral:rRNA from 1 species